CAGUGGCAACACACCAACGUUUGAAAAUACAAACCUUGUUCUCUGUUAUUUCUCUCAACAAUCGUUCCAAACAAAUCACGAGUUGAAUUCUGAAGGUUUCGCUACGUUUCUACCACUCAGGUUUGCUUCGCGGAACGCGAAAAUCUAACACUUUUAGGUUUUAUGAUGGAUGAUCUGCGAGAAUCUAUGUUCUAUCCGACUUCAUUUAUCUCAAUGAACUUUUCUGUGCUUCCCCGAUGCAAAGAUAGGGUUUCGCGUGUAGGAUUCCUUUCAAUUUAUUUAUUAGGGUUUUCAGAAGGAUCGGCGAUACCCUAAUUUGGGGGGUUUUGGGAUAGUCUCUAUUGACGUUAUGAUCAGGGUUAAAUUAUUGAUCUUUGAUCCAAUUCUGUCAUGGGUUUUGACCUUGACGUGCUUGAUCUUCCUCGAUAGACUUGUUCUGCCAUAGUUUUGUUGCCAUGUUCAUCACUUGCUUUACAACUGUUAUUUUGGGAUGUAAAAUUUGGGACCCAAAUGGUUUUGGGUUUUUGAUGAGGAGUUGAGUCUACGGCUUAGGGUUUAUCAUUGAGUUAAUGAAUGAAAACAUGAGCUAUGGAGAAUUUUAUUGAUAGGAUACAGUAUCUGAUCUGGGAUGUCAUUGCAUUGCAAUGUUUGUUUUUUUAGAGUAUCAUGAAUACAAAGUUUGCACGAAGGACUGAGCGCAUUGGUGGAACAGCAUGUGCCUAUUGGAGAGCUGGGAGAUGUAACAGAAAUCCUUGCAGAUUUUUGCACAUAGAGACACCAUCACCACCUACUGCUUGUGGUUAUGUCAAUACUGCAUAUAGAUAUGGAAAAAAGCCCCAUUCCUCCUCUGAGAAUACCCCUAAAUAUAGUUCAAAGACAGCAUUGAUUAGCGAUAAUGGAGAUAGAGGAGAUGCGACAAGGGUCGCUAAGGCGUCCAAGAAAUCAUCAACAAGGAUAUGUAAAUACUGGAUCAACAACAAUUGUGUACAUGGUGAACAAUGCCUGUAUUUGCAUUCAUGGUUUCAUGGUGAUGGGUUUUCCACCGUAACAAAGCUUCAAGAACAUAAGAAGGUUAUCACUGGCAUUGCACUUCCUGUUGGAUCGGACAAACUUUAUUCUGGCAGCAGUGAUGGGACAGUUCGGAUAUGGGACUGCCAUACUGGUCGAUGUGUUAAAGUCAUCAAUCUUGGUGCUGAGGUUACCUCUUUGAUCAGUGAGGGGCCAUGGAUUUUUGUUGGUCAGCAAAAUGCUGUCAAGGCUUGGAACAUCCAGACCAUUACAGAGUUUACUCUUGAUGGACCCAAAGGCCAAGUCCGUGCCAUGACUGUUGGCAAUGAUACACUCUUUGCUGGUGCAGAGGAUGGUGUCAUUUUUGCCUGGAGAGGAAGCUCUGGAGCUAAAUCUCCUUUUGAACUGGUUGCAUCACUCACUGGCCAUACUAAAGCAGUGGUUUGCCUGACUAUUGGAUGCAAGAUGCUGUACUCUGGGUCCAUGGACCAAAGCAUAAAGGUCUGGGACAUGGAUACAUUACAGUGUACAAUGACACUAAAUGAGCAUACUGACAUAGUCACAUCUCUUAUUUGUUGGGACCAAUAUUUGUUGUCAUGUUCAUCUGACUGUACAAUUAAGGUCUGGGCUUGCACUGAAGUAGGAUCUUUGAAAGUGGUAUAUACGCACACGGAAGAAAAUGGUGUUGUUUCACUUUUUGGGAUGCCUGAUGCAGAAGGCAAGCAUAUAUUAUUUUCCUCGUGCAGAGACAAUUCAGUUCAUAUGUAUGAAUUGCCAUCAUUUUCAGAGAGGGGACGUUUAUUUGCCAAGAAAGAUGUGGCAUCAUUUGAGUUAGGUCUUGGUGGCCUCUUCUUCACUGGAGAUGAGACUGGUUUGCUGAUGGUGUGGAAAUGGUUGGAUGUACCCAAGGUGGCAUCCUCUUGAUGUGUUCCCUUUCGACUUUGGAGUUGUAUUAUCCAUCUGUCUCCUCUUGAAGCAGAUGUAAUGCUCUCCUUCCUUGAUUAGUAUAUUUACUAUUGGAUUGCUCUUUAUGCUAUCAUUGCUUUAGCCAUAUCAAGAAUGAAUAGUCUCGGUGUCGAAAGUAGCAUGAUGUACUUCUUUUGCGGCUUAUUUGUAUUUCAACUCAUGAAGCUCAAGAUAUGGGUAGGCAUUGUCGCGGGAGGAAUGUUUAGGUUUGUUCUUAUCUUAAUUCGAACCAUACUUGCUGCACAACUGAAGAAGGAGGAGCAAGAUUAGCAUGUUGAAGUGUAAACUUCAGCCUAAGAAAUCUCAUUAUUGUUAUUUAUAGUUCUUGGAAUGACACUAAGAAAUCUCUUAUUAUUCUGGUUAAUGAGGGAAGACCAUUACGCGCAGAGACUAGUAGAGAUAAGAAAUGCUUAACAGUAAUGUGAGAAUUAAACUCUUUUUUUUUUUUUUUUAUCAUAAAUUCAGUGUGUUAUACCAACUGAAUUGCACACAUUGAAUUCACAUUGAAUUGCUGGAGUUUAUUGUUUUAGUAUUGAAAAAUGUGAUAUUUAUAAUAUAUAUUUUGUAUCUAA